rnacentral:rRNA from 1 species
UACUAUGCUAAUGAGUAUUAUGAAAAUCUGAAUUAUUAAUAGAUAUAUUCUUUAAAUUUGAAGAAUUUGGCGGUAAUUUAGUCUUGUUAGAGGAACCUGUUUUUGAAUCGAUACACCACGUAGAAUCUUACUCAUCAUUGUAAAAGUUUAUAUACCAUCAUUAGCAGAUAAUUUUUAAAAAAUUAAUUAUUAAAGUUUAAAGAUAAGUUAAUUUAAAUUAGAUCAAGGUGUAGCCUAUAGGUGAGUUAAAAUGGGUUACAAUAAAAUUUAUUUAGAACGGAACAAGUGUAAGAAAUUGGUCUUGUAGAAGGAGGAUUUAAUUGUAAUGAGAGUUUAAUAAGCUGGACAGAUAUAAGCUCUAAAUUAU